rnacentral:rRNA from 1 species
CCUACGGGGGGCAGCAGUGGGGAAUAUUGCACAAUGGGGGAAACCCUGAUGCAGCGACGCCGCGUGAGUGAAGAAGUAUCUCGGUAUGUAAAGCUCUAUCAGCAGGGAAGAAAAGGACGGUACCUGACUAAGAAGCUACGGCUAACUACGUGACAGCAGCCGCGGUAAUACGUAGGGGGCAAGCGUUAUACGGAUGUACGGGGGGUAAAGGGAGCGUAGACGGCGCGGCAAGUCCGGAGUGAAAGUCCAUGGCUUAACCAUGAUACUGCUCUGGAAACUGUGGAGCUUGAGUGCGGGAGGGGCAGGCGGAAUUCCUAGUGUAGCGGUGAAAUGCGUAGAUAUUAGGAAGAACACCGACGGCGAAGGCAGCCUACUGGACCGUAACUGACGUUGAGGCUCGAAAGCGUGGGGAGCAAACAGGAUUAGAUACCCUAGUAGUC